rnacentral:rRNA from 1 species
GAUGAACGCUGGCGGCGUGCCUAAUACAUGCAAGUCGAGCGAACGGACGAGAAGCUUGCUUCUCUGAUGUUAUCGGCCGACGGGUGAGUAACAUGUGGAUAACCUACCUAUAAGACUGGGAUAACUUCGGGAAACCGUAGCUUAUACCGGAUAAUAUUUUGAACCGCAUGGUUCAAACGUUAAAGUCGGUCUUUCUGUCUCUUAUAGAUGGAUCCGCGCUGCAUUAGCUAGUUGUUAAGGUAACUGCUUACCAAGGCAACGAUGCAUAGCCGACCUGAGAGCGUGAUUGGCUACCCUGGCACAGAGACAGGGCCGAGACACCGGGGGGAGGCAGCAGUAGGGAAUCCUACGCAAUGGGCGAAAGCCUGAUGGAGCAAAGUCGCGGGAGUGAUGAAGGACUAAGGAUCGGAAAACUCUGUUAUUAGGGAAGAAGAUAUGUGUAAGUAACUGUGAACAUCAUGACGGUACCUAAACAGAAAGCCACGGCUAACUACGUG